AUACGUAGGGGGCGAGCGUUGUCCGGAAUGAUUGGGCGUAAAGGGCGCGUAGGCGGCGCGGUAAGUCUGGAGUGAAAGUCCUGCUUUCAAGGUGGGAAUUGCUCUGGAUACUGCCGCGCUUGAGUGCAGGAGAGGUUACCGGAAUUCCCGGUGUAGCGGUGAAAUGCGUAGAGAUCGGGAGGAACACCAGUGGCGAAGGCGGGUAACUGGACUGCAACUGACGCUGAGGCGCGAAAGUGUGGGGAGCAAACAGGAUUAGAUACCCUGGUAGUCCACACUGUAAACGAUGAAUGCUAGGUGUAAGAGGUAUCGACCCCUUUUGUGCCGGAGUCAACACAAUAAGCAUUCCGCCUGGGGAGUACGGCCGCAAGGUUGAAACUCAAAUGAAUUGACGGGG
rnacentral:rRNA from 1 species